UCGGAUAUGGUGUAAUGGUUAACAUUGCCGCCUCUCAUGCAUUUAAGGCAUUCCACACAGCUCCGCGGCAGCUCGGGGUUCGAUUCCCCGUAUCCGAA